rnacentral:tRNA from 1 species
GAGAAAUUAUUUUAAUUAAAAUAUGAAUCUGUCAGAUUCAAGUUAUCAAGAGAUAUUUCUUC